rnacentral:rRNA from 1 species
GACGAACGCUGGCGGCGUGCUUAACACAUGCAAGUCGAACGGUAAGGCCCUUCGGGGUACACGAGUGGCGAACGGGUGAGUAACACGUGGGUGAUCUGCCCUGCACUUCGGGAUAAGCCUGGGAAACUGGGUCUAAUACCGGAUAGGACUCCGGACUGCAUGGUCUGGGGUGGAAAGCUUUUGCGGUGUGGGAUGGGCCCGCGGCCUAUCAGCUUGUUGGUGGGGUGAUGGGCUACCAAGGCGAAGACGGGUAGCCGGCCUGAGAGGGUCACCGGCCACAAUGGGCCUGAGAUACGGCGCAGACUCCUACGAGAGGCAGCAGUGGGGAAUAUUGCACAAUGGGCGCAAGCCUGAUGCAGCGACGCCGCGUGAGGGAUGACGGCCUUCGGGUUGUAAACCUCUUUAAGCACAGACGAAGCGCAAGUGACGGUAUGUGCAGAAGAAGGACCGGCCAACUACGUGCAAGCAGCCGCCGUAA